rnacentral:rRNA from 1 species
ACUCCUACGGGAGGCUGCAGUGGGGAAUAUUGCACAAUGGGCGAAAGCCUGAUGCAGCAACGCCGCGUGAGCGAUGAAGGCCUUCGGGUCGUAAAGCUCUGUCCUCAAGGAAGAUAAUGACGGUACUUGAGGAGGAAGCCCCGGCUAACUACGUGCCAGCAGCCGCGGUAAU